GUCACAAUGCAAUUUAAUGUGAGAAGUGAAUGGAUUUCAAUCCCAUCACUCCCAAUAUGACUAAUUAAAUGAUAAUAAAAAAAUUAAUGGGCUAAUGGAAAGUCAUUACUAACACAUUUCUAAUCUAAAUAUUCAUAACACCUACAGCUCAUUUUCUUUCUCUGACUCCCAUCUUCACUUUCUCAUCUCCAAAAUGUUCUCUUUUCAAUUUUUUUAUUUAUUGCACAAAUAAUUAAGAUAUAUUUAGACAAUUCAAGGUACAUAUAAUUUAAUAGUAUUAAUAAUGAUAUAAUUCUUGACCAUUUUUAGGAUAUUCGUCUAGUAUAAUUCUAAGAAGUUUUUAUAAUAUUUUAUUAUAUAUUGACCCCAUAAUUUUUUUUUUUUUU
rnacentral:misc_RNA from 1 species